CUAGUAUGAAAAACCAUAGUUAGCAGCUAGCUAGCGAUACCAACACAACAUAUAUCAACCAAGUCCUGUCUCCAACGCGAAUAAUGAGCCCAGAGUUGAAGAUGCUGUCCCAUCCACUGACCUCCACUAUUUCUCCUCUGGUCCUGGCCUGCUCAGUGAUGUUGUCCCCCGGGCCCUUGGCUGCACCCAUCUGGGUCUGGGAUUCCAAGAUGGCCGCCCAGUCUCUUCUGUUAGCCUCCAGCCAACCAUCUGUAGGAAGAGGUUUCAAAGUAGACUUUACAAACUUGGCAGAGAACUCUACACAUGGAGUUUAAGUCAAUUAUCUGGUGAAGUUCAUACAAUACAAUAUGUGUGUUUUUGUAUGUAAACAUAAGUUGUAUUGAUUAAAUAGCCAGGUGCAUCACUA